rnacentral:rRNA from 1 species
UGGGUAACACUAACUGGAGGACCGAACCGACUAAUGUUGAAAAAUUAGCGGAUGACCUGUGGCUGGGGGUGAAAGGCCAAUCAAACCGGGAGAUAGCUGGUUCUCCCCGAAAGCUAUUUAGGUAGCGCCUCGUGAAUUCAUCUCCGGGGGUAGAGCACUGUUUCGGCUAGGGGGCCAUCCCGGCUUACCAACCCGAUGCAAACUGCGAAUACCGGAGAAUGUUAUCACGGGAGACACACGGCGGGUGCUAACGUCCGUCGUGAAGAGGGAAACAACCCAGACCGCCAGCUAAGGUCCCAAAGUCAUGGUUAAGUGGGAAACGAUGUGGGAAGGCCCAGACAGCCAGGAUGUUGGCUUAGAAGCAGCCAUCAUUUAAAGAAAGCGUAAUAGCUCACUGGUCGAGUCGGCCUGCGCGGAAGAUGUAACGGGGCUAAACCAUGCACCGAAGCUGCGGCAGCGACACUGUGUGUUG